rnacentral:rRNA from 1 species
AGCGGCGGACGGGUGAGUAACGCGUGGGCAACCUGCCUUACACAGGGGGAUAACAGUUAGAAAUGACUGCUAAUACCACAUAAGACCGCGGAACCGCAUGGUUCUGAGGUAAAAACUCCGGUGGUGUAAGAUGGGCCCGCGUCUGAUUAGGUAGUUGGUGAGGUAACGGCUCACCAAGCCGACGAUCAGUAGCCGACCUGAGAGGGUGACCGGCCACAUUGGGACUGAGACACGGCCCAGACUCCUACGGAAGGCAGCAG